UACGUAGGGGGCAAGCGUUGUCCGGAAUCAUUGGGCGUAAAGCGCGCGUAGGCGGCCCGGUAAGUCCGUUGUGAAAGUCAAAGGCUCAACCUUUGAACGCCGAUGGAUACUGCCGGGCUAGAGUCCGGAAGAGGCGAGUGGAAUUCCUGGUGUAGCGGUGGAAUGUGCAGAUAUCAGGAGGAACACCAAUAGCGAAGGCAGCUCGCUGGGACGGUACUGACGCUGAGGCGCGAAAGCGUGGGGAGCAAACAGG
rnacentral:rRNA from 1 species